rnacentral:rRNA from 1 species
CCCCGUGACCAUAUCGAGGGGGUUACACCCGUUCCCAUUCCGAAUACGGUCGUUAAGCCCCUCAGAGCCGAUGGUACUGCGCUGGUGACGGUGUGGGAGAGUAGGACGUUGCGGGGA